UGACUUUUUUGUUAGAUUUAUUUUUCAGGAAAGGCUUCUGUAACAGUGGUAGACGUUGAAGCUGAAGUGAAAGAUAUUGAUUAAUUCAUGUCAAAACUAUGAUAAGUGUGUUGGUAGUUGGUACAUAUGGCCAGAACAAAACAUGAGAAAAAUGUCACGCCAUCAUACUAGUAAAAAAAAACCUGUUUUGAGAGAGAGAGGGAGAGAGAGCAUCCCAUGUAAAACUGUUUUGAGAGAGAGAGGGAGAGAGAGCAUCCCAUGUAAAAUUCAGUGAUAAAAGAUCUGAUUGGUGUUGGUUCUUUGUGUAAGUAGAGUUAAUGUGAUAGAGGCUUGUGAGAUUUAGGACUCGGUGUGGGUGAUUAAUGUUUGCAAAGGAAUAUGUGCAAUAGUGGAAAAGGGUGCUUGCGUUGUAUAUUUGUAAUGUUGGAGCUUGAUUUUGAAACGUACAGCAUUCACUCUCUCUCUCUCUCUUGAGCAAUGGUUUAUUAUUUGGGACAUUCUCUAUC